UAUGUAGGGUGCGAGCGUUGUCCGGAAUUACUGGGCGUAAAGAGCUCGUAGGUGGUUUGUCGCGUUGUUCGUGAAAACUCGCAACUCAAUUGUGGGCGUGCGGGCGAUACGGGCAGACUGGAGUAUUGCAGGGGAGACUGGAAUUCCUGGUGUAGCGGUGGAAUGCGCAGAUAUCAGGAGGAACAUCGAUGGCGAAGGCAGGUCUCUGGGCAUUAACUGACGCUGAGGAGCGAAAGCAUGGGGAGCGAACAGG
rnacentral:rRNA from 1 species